GAAAUGCAAUGCUCCUCCCUCUAAAGUCCAAGAAACUGUUCCGUCCAGAGCCGAAAUGGCCCGUGAGAGCGGGGACCCAGCUUCGUUAUUUUAGCGUGGGUCGAGCCAAGAUGGCGUGCGGUGCAGCAGGAGUUUCCCCCAUGGUGCAGGGACGCAGGUGGAUUUUUCUCAGGUGUGAGAAGGCAAGCCCUGAGGUGUGUUGGCGAUGCCCCCCAAAGGUGAUGAAAGGAAUCACAUACCUCCCACUGCUCCAUCUUGAAAAUCCUCUAAUGACAUUUCAAUGUGAUAAAAUAAAUAAAUGUGAAAUUCUGAGACCUUUAGAACGAAGAAAAUUUAAACGGGGAUAACAUCACUUUCUAAUUAGAACACUGGGCUAACUCGAUUAAUUUUUACCCUCUUUGCCAUGAAUUAUAGGUAUAAUGAACUAAAAUAUGUUUAUAUAGGCUAUGUCACAUUUUCUGUAAGCAAGACCCCACAGAACAGUUCACCUAAUAUAUAAUUAUCAUUUAAUAUUAUCUAAUAAAGUUGUUGAAUUCAACUUUUCCACUACAAACAUACACUAUAAAAUGUAUUUAACAAUAAAAGACAUUGAAUUGUA